rfam:Salmo salar isolate Sally breed double haploid chromosome ssa18, whole genome shotgun sequence.
AGACAGGGAACCUGUAAGUUGCUCUGGAUAAGAGCGUCUGCUAAAUGGCGUAAA